AUAUCCCGGUAUCCCGCUAACAUUGCCAGAUACAAGAUGUUGAAACAUGGGAAGGAAAAGGCGAACCCUGAGAGGUUUAAGUACUUGUACAGCGGAGCUAAACGGAUCACGAAGGACGGGUACAACUCCUUAAAGUACAGGAAGGUUGACCUGGUCCUCAAGAAACUUUACACUUGGAUUCUCGUGGAUUUACCACAUCUCAAGGCUUAGUAAGUCUAUGUACAAGACUUUGUACACGACUUCAUCGUGCAAACUGUAUAAGGCAAUCAAAAUAUUUAUUAAGAUGUAAAUCUACUUUCCUCAAUUGUUCUUUCGACAAAAUUCGUUGUUUUUAAUCAUUAGUUUCAAAAUGUAAAUUGGUAAUUGCUUGGUUCGUUUUUCAAGGGUUUUUAGCUUUUAAAAGACUUUUAAAGUGAAAAACUCGAAUGUAAAAAUCAACCAAUCGUAAACUUUCAUUUUCAAGGGGACCGAAGACGUAAGUUCUAGUGACCCUCCAUUUAUAGAGCGAAGUGUCUGAUUUAUUAAGGUGCCUUUUAAACCCUUGUCUGGUUAUUUACGAAUGAGAUAUUCUAGUUAAAAAGGUACUGUUUUGAAUUGGCCAUGCCACUCCAUCCCUUAACUGAGGGUCACUUUCAUUACGUCUACGAUACCUUUAAUGAUAUUUGUUAUAUAUAUUUCUACCUGUGAUCAAAUGAGAGAAAUUAUAUUUAUAUAUUUGUAUCAUAAUCCUAAAAUUC